rnacentral:rRNA from 1 species
AGCGAACGCUGGCGGCAGGCCUAACACAUGCAAGUCGAACGAAGCCUUCGGGCUUAGUGGCGGACGGGUGAGUAACACGUGGGAACGUACCUUUUGGUUCGGAACAACUCAGGGAAACUUGAGCUAAUACCGGAUGAGCCCUUCGGGGGAAAGAUUUAUCGCCGAAAGAGCGGCCCGCGUUAGAUUAGCUAGUUGGUGAGGUAAAGGCUCACCAAGGCAACGAUCUAUAGCUGGUCUGAGAGGAUGAUCAGCCACACUGGGACUGAGACACGGCCCAGACUCCUACGGGAGGCAGCAGUGGGGAAUCUUGCGCAAUGGGCGAAAGCCUGACGCAGCCAUGCCGCGUGAAUGAUGAAGGUCUUAGGAUUGUAAAAUUCUUAUACCAGGGACGAUAAUGACGGUACCUGGAGAAAAAGCCCCGGCUAACUUCGUGCCAGCCGCCGCCGUAAGAC